rnacentral:tRNA from 2 species
GGCGAAUGUGGUGAAGUGGUUAACACACCAGAUUGUGGCUCUGGCAUGCGUGGGUUCGAUCCCCAUCAUUCGCCU